CCCAAGUUCCCAGCACCCACCUGGUGGCUCACCACCAUCUUUGACUCCAGUUCAAGAGGAUUUUAUAUGCUCUGAGGGCACCAGG